UUGUUUGCAUAUCAUGGUUUCAUAGCAACCGGGUUUUUCUUUUUAUAGGUGCUUGGACUAUCUUGCAUCUGUGGAUAUGAAAAUAGUGGUAACCUACCCUACGAAACAGCUGUUUGCACAUAAGCUUAACAGUUCCCUGUGAGAUGCUGUGAAAGUCAGCAGGGAAGUGCGAUGUAGAAGAAACGACUGCCAGAAGCUUGCUAAGGAACCGCACAACCUGUGUGGGCAGCAGACAAAAUAUUCAUCAAACGAAGCUUUGCACCAAAGUUAUGAGAGCAGCACAGAUGUUGUUUUAGCGUAAUGGAGUGAUGGAAGUGCUGCACCAAUCAUGGAGUGCU